rnacentral:rRNA from 1 species
UACCUGGUUGAUCCUGCCAGUAGUCAUAUGCUUGUCUCAAAGAUUAAGCCAUGCAUGUCUUCGUGCAAGCUCCUCGAGCGAAACUGCGGAUGGCUCAUUAAAUCAGUUAUGGUUCAUUGGAUCGAGUCCCCCGGACAUGGAUAACUGUGGUAAUUCUAGAGCUAAUACAUGCGUCCAAGCGCCGACUCUCCAGAAGGCGUGCUUUUAUUAGGAAAAAGACCAGCCCGGCUCCGGCCGGUACCACUGGUGAACUCUGGAUAACACAGCCGAUCGCACGGCCCUCGCGCCGGCGACGGAUCC